CUUUUCAGUGUAAUCUCGAGGAGGCUUUAGCACCUCACCAGCAAGCCCUUCCCAUGAGUCCACCUCCAGGCAUGCCUUCCAAGCAGCUGAUAGAAACAGUGCAUUUCUACUAAAUAUGUUCCAGGUGUUGGUCUGGUGUUUGCUACCGAUGAGAUUAUUGACAUAUCAGUUCAUCAGUUCUAUUGAGCCUUUUUUUAAAGAUACAUAAAUGUUAUUGAAAGG
rnacentral:lncRNA from 1 species